GACGAACGCUGGCGGCGUGCUUAACACAUGCAAGUCGAACGGAAAGGCCCUGCUUUUGUGGGGUGCUCGAGUGGCGAACGGGUGAGUAACACGUGAGUAACCUGCCCUUGACUUUGGGAUAACUUCAGGAAACUGGGGCUAAUACCGGAUAGGAGCUCCUGCUGCAUGGUGGGGGUUGGAAAGUUUCGGCGGUUGGGGAUGGACUCGCGGCUUAUCAGCUUGUUGGUGGGGUAGUGGCUUACCAAGGCUUUGACGGGUAGCCGGCCUGAGAGGGUGAACGGGCACAUUGGGACUGAGAUACGGCCCAGACUCCUACGGGAGGCAGCAGUGGGGAAUAUUGCACAGUGGGCGGAAGCCUGAUGCAGCAACGCCGGGUGCGGGAUGACGGCCUUCGGGUUGUAAACCGCAGUCGCCUGUGACGAAGCGUGAGUGACGGUAAUGGGUAAAGAAGCACCGGCUAACUACGUG
rnacentral:rRNA from 1 species